rnacentral:rRNA from 1 species
UACGUAGGGUCCGAGCGUUGUCCGGAUUUAUUGGGCGUAAAGAGCUCGUCGGCGGUUCCGUAAGUCAGAUGUGAAAACUCAGGGCUCAACCCGGAGACGCCAUCUGAUACUGCGGUGACUGGAGUCUGGUAGGGGAACACGGAAUUCCUGGUGUAGCGGUGAAAUGCGCAGAUAUCAGGAGGAACACCGAUGGCGAAGGCAGUGUUCUGGGCCAGUACUGACGCUGAGGAGCGAAAGCGUGGGGAGCAAACAGG